rnacentral:rRNA from 1 species
GCCUACGGGUGGCAGCAGUGGGGAAUAUUGCACAAUGGGCGAAAGCCUGAUGCAGCGACGCCGCGUGAGGGAUGACGGCCUUCGGGUUGUAAACCUCUUUCAGCAGGGACGAAGCGCACGUGACGGUACCUGCAGAAGAAGCACCGGCCAACUACGUGCCAGCAGCCGCGGUAAUACGUAGGGUGCGAGCGUUGUCCGGAAUUACUGGGCGUAAAGAGCCCGUAGGCGGUUUGUCGCGUCGUCUGUGAAAACCCGCAGCUCAACUGCGGGCUUGCAGGCGAUACGGGCAGACUUGAGUACUGCAGGGGAGACUGGAAUUCCUGGUGUAGCGGUGAAAUGCGCAGAUAUCAGGAGGAACACCGGUGGCGAAGGCGGGUCUCUGGGCAGUAACUGACGCUGAGGAGCGAAAGCGUGGGUAGCGAACAGGAUUAGAUACCCGUGUAGUCGAA